UACGUAGGGUGCGAGCGUUGUCCGGAAUUAUUGGGCGUAAAGAGCUCGUAGGCGGCUCGUUGCGUCGGCUGUGAAAACCCGCAGCUCAACUGUGGGCCUGCAGCUGAUACGGGCGGGCUGGAGUUCGGUAGGGGAGACUGGAAUUCCUGGUGUAGCGGUGGAAUGCGCAGAUAUCAGGAGGAACACCGAUGGCGAAGGCAGGUCUCUGGGCCACUACUGACGCUGAGAAGCGAAAGCAUGGGGAGCGAACAGG
rnacentral:rRNA from 1 species